GAUGAACGCUGGCGGCGUGCCUAAUACAUGCAAGUCGAGCGAACGGACGAGAAGCUUGCUUCUCUGAUGUUAGCGGCGGACGGGUGAGUAACACGUGGAUAACCUACCUAUAAGACUGGGAUAACUUCGGGAAACCGGAGCUAAUACCGGAUAAUAUUUUGAACCGCAUGGUUCAAAAGUGAAAGACGGUCUUGCUGUCACUUAUAGAUGGAUCCGCGCUGCAUUAGCUAGUUGGUAAGGUAACGGCUUACCAAGGCAACGAUGCAUAGCCGACCUGAGAGGGUGAUCGGCCACACUGGAACUGAGACACGGUCCAGACUCCUACGGGAGGCAGCAGUAGGGAAUCUUCCGCAAUGGGCGAAAGCCUGACGGAGCAACGCCGCGUGAGUGAUGAAGGUCUUCGGAUCGUAAAGCUCUGUUAUUAGGGAAGAACAUAUGUGUAAGUAUCUGUGCACAUCUUGACGGUACCUAAACAGAAAGCCACGGCUAACUACGUG
rnacentral:rRNA from 1 species